rnacentral:rRNA from 1 species
CCUACGGGGGGCAGCAGUGAGGAAUAUUGGUCAAUGGGCGGAAGCCUGAACCAGCCAAGUAGCGUGCGGGAUGAAGGCCCUACGGGUCGUAAACCGCUGUUGCACGGGGAUAACACCCUCCACUUGUACAGGUCUGCAGGUACCGUGCGAAUAAGGGCCGGCUAAUUCCGUGCCAGCAGCCGCGGUAAUACGGAAGGCCCGAGCGUUAUCCGGAUUCAUUGGGCGUAAAGGGAGCGUAGGCGGGCGUUCAAGUCAGCUGUAAAAUCGCGCGGCGCAACCGCGGCCCGCAGUUGAAACUGGAAGCCUUGAGUUCAGGACAGGGAGGCGGAAUUCGUGGUGUAGCGGUGAAAUGCAUAGAUAUCACGAGGAACCCCGAUUGCGAAGGCGGCCUGCCGGGGUGCGACUGACGCUGAGGCUCGAAGGUGCGGGUAUCAAACAGGAUUAGAUACCCCUGUAGUC